rnacentral:tRNA from 1 species
GCUAAUAUAGAUUAAUAAAAAUCACAAGGCUGUUAACCUUGAAAUGUGCUUAAGCACUAUAAGCG